ensembl:lncRNA
GGUUGGGGUUCAUGGUUUCGGGUUGCUGUGCCAGGUGGGUGGGGGAAAUGGGUGCUUGGGUGGGGUUAUGGAUAUAAAGCCUGAUAGCACUGGAAAUGGUGCUUUAGCUGAGAGAGCAAAAGUUUGCACUAAUGUUAAAUGUCCUCGUCCUGCUUAUGGGAGAAGGGCAGGAGACCUCAGAAAGGCCCGCGAGUUUCCAUGAGCACAGAGCAGUGUGGUUAAUACUCAACGGUCUCGAAAAGAGUCCAUCCAACUCCUCCGUAGAUGUAAUCGUGUACAGUAUGUUAAGAAAUAUACGGACGUCCAACAGCAACAAAUACCAAAGGGGAAGAAAUGGCUCGCGUUGAAGUCAUUGGACAUUUUAAGCUACCAAUCUCACAUUAAUCGGCUCUUGAAAAGAGGAAGCUUUUAAACACGGCAAAUUGUAUUUGCGCUUCUUGUAGAGAAAUAUUCCAAAUGUACAACAUUUAGGCACUUACAGAGCAGCAAAGCCUCUCCAGAACCUGGUGAAACAUCCAAUUUUGUGCUGUUUUGAUGGCAGAGGUGCAAAUGUGUGCAGGUGCCAGAGAAACUAGAUCCAGUUCUUUUUAAAUUCCAGAUGAUGGUGAUGAUGGGAUUCUAUCAGCGUCUGUCUCAUAUUAAGUCAGCUAAUGUUGAAUAUUGAAAUGAAAUGAUAAUGCAAACUGUUGGUAUUGUUGAACACUGUUAUUUUAAUCAUUGCCGAGCUGGAUGGAUUCUUGUUUACUUUCUGAAAAAGGUUUAUCUGAAAUGAAAUGUUCUCUAGUUGAAGCCGACCGGGAUUUUGUGGCCUUGUCUGAGCAGCACUAAGCUUGUUUCUUGUUUCUUUUUUAAAUGUUUCCAGACAGCGGUCACUCUGACCCCGACCACACGCUCUCACUGCAAGGUUUUUGUUUGUGUUUUUUUUCCAAAUUGACCUUGAUAUGUUUUCUGUUUUUGUUUUUCUUUCCAAUGCUGUUAUCAAAGAUUUUUGGUGAAUCUAUCUGAGAAGGCCAUAAAACAACAAGGACC